GCUAGAGCCAUGUUUGCUUAAAGGAGCACAUUCAUUUUGAAUAAUCUUCAAGAUCUCCUGGCUUUUUCUUUCUGCUGGUCUUCUCAGGUCACCACCACAUAUGCACACAGGCUCCCAGAAUCUGGCAUUUACGUGAGACCUGACCCUGCUGCGGAGAGUGAGCAUCUCACCGCCAAACCUCUCUGCACUGUGGAAUAGCUUCAAAACCCAUCAUUAGUACAGUUCACUGAAGAGCCCAGGACAAGCAGGUGCUAUUGAUUCUUCAGCCACAACAGCCCUAAAUUGGGACAUGUCAAGGGGUCUCCAGAGAAACAAAACUGAAGAGGCUUAUUAUAAGAAAUUGGCUCAGGCAAUUAUGGAAGUGGUCAAGUCCCAAUUAUGGAAGUGGUCAAGUCCAAGGGUGAAUCGACAAUCUACAGACCCAAGGAGUUGAUAUGCGAGAAAGAACCCAUGUGUUGCUAGGUAUUUUUCUUAAGUGCCCAUAUCCUGGUUAUCUACCAUAACCAUUUGACAGAAGAGGUCACUGAAUCCAGUGGAGACACUGA